GAUGAAGUAAAAAUAUCAACAUAAUAAUAUCCAUGAACAUAAGAAACAUAAUCAUUACUUCUUCAAAAUACACGGUCCUUAACGAAUGUUAUCCCCACUCAUUUUUUUGAGCAUCAAUACAGACACAAGCGCUCAUAUACACACGCAUACACUCACCCAUAUGAACACACACACACACCCUAUCCCUAUGAGCACCUCUGAAAGACUGAGCCGGCAUAUCAUCUUGAGAUUUACGAAGUCACCGUAGGCGCUUCGUCGUCGACGGGAACGUCUCCUUCACUGAAAGCGCAUCGCCGGAAAUCCUGAAAUAAAUCCAGGAAUAAUGCGAGCACCAGCAUGGCAUAACUCCGACUUCAUCAUAUAAAUAUAAAUCAUGAGUAAACCAGACAAUUGGAUCGCACUUCUAACGCGCUUCAGCAUUUUCAACUCCAAAGACCUACUUUUAAUUUUUUUUAUGUGAGGUGUUUUUUGUUAUGUGUCAAGACAAUUGUCCUCUUCGAUGUUCUUUUGUGUGGUUCACAUAUGUUGUUUCAACUCACAACAAAGUGUCUUAUGAACUCAUGAAAACUAUAGGCAACUGAUGUACUCAUAUGCUGGGAGUAUAUGGGAACAAAGCAAACAUCAUUUUUUUUGGAAAACGGAUUAUAUAUGUCAUUUCAAACGAGAAGAAGAAAUACAACCAGUCAAAUAUGCUGGGAGAAGUCUAUGAAACCAACGAUUACUCGAUCUAUCUACAGUACUAGUACUAUCUUUUUUGGAAAAAAAAAACAUCAGAUAAGGAUCCGAGAACACUAGCACAAAACAAAGGAAAAAAGAUACGGUUUUUACGGGCAGCAAAAGAAAGAAAGGCAAUAUAAAGUAACAAAAUGAGGAGAAAAAGUCGUUUAGAGAAAGGAAAGGAGAAAUAAGAUAAAAUCGUUCCAUGGAGCCAACGGCUUCCGGAGAUCUCUUUUUUAUCCCCUCCCCCUCCAUGGAGUCAUGAGUUCACCUCGAGUUCCGCCGCGACUCAUCGUGGUCGGCAACCACUACUAGGCCCCGGCCGCUCCGAUCCUCCACGAGACAGCAGGGGCUCGCUUCCAAUGCGGCUCCCCUUCCAGUUUCUUGGGCUCGAAUCGGGAUUCCACGAGCGCGCUCGCUUAGCUUUCUAGGGAUUUUGCUAGGGUUCUUCCGUUCAACUCGAAACUUUUUUUUUUCUUGCGUGUUUCUUAGUUUCGUUGCGUUGCUCCCCACGAAAUUGGUGUUUUUCUCUGCUUGUUGCGUGGGGGAAUCGGGGUGAAAAGCUGCGUUUUUUGUGCAGUUUCAAGGUGCGGCGACUUUUUAUUCUUCUUCUUCUUCAGUUCUUGAUGGGUUUAGUUUAGGGUUCUUGCUCUGUCUGUGAGCCUUCCGAUUUCAUCGGAUUUGAUCUGGUAGCUUCGCUCUCUUGCUCCAAGGAGUCAAACUCGUAAAUCAAAUCGCACUUCUAGACCACCUAAAAUUUGUGAAUUUUGUUUGCCAUCUAGCUGCCGGAGAGGCUCCAGAAUCACAAAAUUCUCAGUUUUUGGCACCUUCCACCGGCUUCUUGGCCUCCAGUAGCUCCAAAUUUGACCAAGUUCUUGCUUUUGGCAUCAUCCCCAACCACAUAACUAUGGCCGCCACUGCCUCAGAGCCGCCCAUGGUGGAGCAAGUGAUCACCGAGUUCUUUGCCAAGAGCCUCCACAUCAUCCUGGAGUCCCGCUCGCCCUAUGAAUCAUCACGCAGCUUCACGCGGCCUUCACCGCCAUCUUCGCCGCUCUCUGGCAGCCAGCCACGGGACAGGUGGUUCAACCUUGCCCUCCGGGACUGCCCAGCUGCACUUGAGAACUUUGACCUGUGGAGACAGAGCAAUCUUGAGCCACUGGUUAUUGAUAUUGUGAUGCUCCGGCGUGACAAUCCCAACACCACCUGUGCUGAGGGCGGCAAGAUCAUAGAGAGGUGGGUGAUACAGUAUGAAACCAGCAAGCCUGGCAGUGGCAAUGGUAAUGGCAGCAAGAACCACAGCAGGAAGUCUAGGAACAGCCCGGCUGAGGAUCAUAGCUUGUACAGGAGUACAUACAAGGGCUCAACAGUGUUAUUUCGGUCAUUGCAUCUGGUUGUCAGGCUCUUGCCAGCUUACAAUCUCUUCAGGGAGUUGAAUUCAUCUGGGAGAAUCCGUCCACUUAACCUGUCACACAAGAUAUCAUCAUUCGUCGAGCCGUUUACUAGGGCAGAGGAUGCAGAGAUGAAGCACUAUGCAUUUGCUCCAAUUGAAACUCUGUUUGGCCGCCUGAGCUUGUCAGUUUCUUAUGUGCCAGUGCUGGAGGUGGUGGCAGCACCAGAGCCAACCACACACAUGUCAACAGAGCUUAUAAUGGAUUAUGUCGGGAGCCCCACAACAGACUUUCUCAGGACGUUCAAUUCCCUGCCUUCAGAUGGCAUUGCACCUGAUUGUGCUGCAAUGACUAGGCGUCACAGUUGGAGUAUUGACCCUGGAGCUAGACCAUCGGUAUCACCAUCUCCUCUUUUGCAUGAUAGUCCUCUAACACGUUUGCAUCCACAUAGCACAAUAUCCUCUGUGAAGAAAAAAAGUACAGGAUUUGAAGACUGCUAUCCAUCACCACCGUUGUCACCAUCGCCAUCCCGUUCCCCUUCUGCUAGCUACCCAAAAAAUUCUUUGUUCCGAUAUGAGAGUGCUCCUGUGGUCAUUCCCACUGGGAGGGAUGGUGGAGGUAGUGGACUGCCUCCUUCUCCAUCUUUCAAGGGUAAAUACCAGCUCCCAUCUCAAAACUACAACCUAACCCCAUCGCCUGAUGGAAAUUCAAAUGUAAGGAAGGAUUUGGUCAGGUUUGGUGAAUUUGAGAAUAAUGCGGCCAUGCAAAAGGUAAUCACAUAGUUUAUUUUAUUAUCUUCUCAAGCAAUGUGUGUAGCUUGCUGUAGCAGCAGUAGUUUUAUUACGGGGUUUUGCUUUUGAAUCCAUCUCACAUUUUUACUGUUGAAUUUUCUGGUUUUGUCUUUGAUCAGGCGCUAUCUUUUGAUAAAUAUGAUUUGGGAUAUUUUCAUGGACUGAAGUUGACAAGGACUGCAAGCAAACUUUUCAUCACGGAUGAACUGGAUGAGCGGGAGUUGGCAUUUGCAUGGGAAGAUAGAGAUAUCAUUAUUGAUCAACUUAACAGGUAGUUUUCGUCUCCUCCUUUCAGAAUAUGAUUAUGACAUUAUGCCACAGGACCAAGUGUUAAAGCUGUUCCUUGUUGUUUGUGUCUGAUUCCCUUUGCAUGCACAUGCUCAUGAAAACUUGUGUGGUUCUCCUUGCAUAUAGAUUUUGGUAUCACAUAGUGGCUCAAGUGCAAUAGCAUAUAUCUUUAUCCUAAAUCUGGCAAUUACAGGGCUGUCCUUUAUUUUAGUUUAGUUAAGACAAUUCUGUAGUUGUUGGAUCUCACUAAGACGGCUAUGUCAGUCAGAUGCCCAGUGAUCUGAAAACUAAGUUAAUCCCAUAUUCUGCAGUGGACCAUCUUAUAUUUCAGGUGGCCCUUGAAGCAGCAACUCUAGGAUAAAUGCACAGUUAUUCAUUUUCAAACUGCAUGGUGUAAUGCUUCAUGCUUCUGACAUCAUGUACACAAAUUGUAAUGUUGCAUCUUACAGUUGUUAAAUCUCUAGUAAAUACGGACCGAUGGCAGCUAACCACGCUAACCACUACCAUGUGUUAGCUUCAUGAAGGAUAAUGGAUGUUUAAGACACAAACAUAUUCAGAGGCAAAGUAAUAAUAAUCAGAAAUCAAGAUACUAUAGUUAGUUCUGGUUACUGGAUGCUUUUGUUGUUUGUUCCACGAUAAGAGGGCAAUAAUAUACUUCUCCAAUGCUCAUUUAGGUCUAUCAACUUGUUUGUUGCACUUACUAAUUCAACUGAAGUUGCAAAUUAUCCAGUUAUUGUAUUAGUAUUUUCUAAAUGAGAAGGCAUCAUGUUUGCUUAGAAGUGCUAGUAUAGAUGUUCAGUGUCUACAUAUAAUAUGCUUGCAUUUCUGUUAUAGAAGUCAGAACUCAGGGCAGCUUUUUUCCUUACACUAAUUGCAAUAUAUCAGCGGAUAACUCAUUUUUCAUAUAUUUUUUCAUGGUUCUUUCGAUGGUCUGAACACAUUUUGUUCUUUCUAUUAUCGAGAUAAGCUAGCUGAUCACUUGCAAUAUUUAUAGUUCAGAAAUGUCUGCAUUUUAAUUAUCUGGGCUGUCUGUUGUUCAAAUGAAACCAUCCUCGGUCUUCCACCUAGAGGAUAAAUAUAAAAUACAGUCUUGUGCGUGAGGAUGAAUAUACACCUGCUCAUCUUUGUUCAGUGAAACCACUUUUGAGAGACUUAAUUUUAAUGUUUUUCAAGUUUUCUCCUCCUCCUACUUCUCAAGGUUCUCAUUACUUCCUAAGUUCCUUAUUUCCUACAUUAGCUCGUUUCUGUCUCCUUGCUUCUCUCAGUGCUCAGUAUGUAGUAUGUACUGUGCCACACACAACUUUUCGGCCUGGCUUCUACUUUUUUCUAGGCGUAGUACGUAUAUAAGUGUGUUGCGUUCACAGAAACAUAAAGAUUGUCAUACGGGGUAGCUUCCAGUGUACAUGAAAAGCUCUGGACCAGCAUCAAAGGUAACCUAUAUCUUUGGUAGGAGAUUUUUUUCGCUAACAGUCAGAUGUUGGUUAGGCUGUGUGGGGGGUAGCCUUGAAUCAGUUAACCUGAGAAGGCAAUAUGGAAGGUGCUAGACACUGUAAGCAAUUGUUACUAAUUCGGUAUAUUGCAAACAAGCUCUGAUAUCUCAUCUUGUUCUUAGCUUGGAGCUAAACAUCGAAAGGCUGGGUACUUAAGCUUAUCCCCUACCCUUGGAUCAAUAUGGGCCACCCCCUGGUUUGAGUCGAGUCUGGCUUGAUUUUGACAAAGUCUCAUGUGGUGUAUAUAGGAGUGGGCAGUGUGGAAUGAGGAUAUAUGCUCUUUUUUUGGAGUAAAAAAUAGUUGCAUUCUGACUCUUCUAGGACUUCACAAUCAAGUAGGUAGACAUUCGAAGUGAAAAUAUCAUGCAUACCCUAAGUUUAACUCUAUGAAAAUGAAAAGUUUAUUUUAGGCAAUGAGCAUGAGAUUUUUACAACAACAGCAAGAAAGCCUUUAGUCCCAAAGAAGUUGGGGUAGGCUAGAGUUGAAACCCGUAAGAUCUCGCAACCAACUCAUGGUUCUGGCACAUGGAUAGCAAGCUUCCACGCACCCCUGUCCAUGGCUAGUUCUUUGGUGAUACUUCAGAUUCUCUUUCCGGACUCCUCCCAUGUCAAGUUCGGUCUACCCCAACCUCUCUUGACAUUAUCAGCACGCUUUAGCCAUCAGCUUUGCACCGGAGCUUCUGGAGGCCUGCGCUGAAUAUGCCCAAACCAUCCCAGACGAUGUUAGACAAGCUUCUCUUCAAUCGGUUCUACCCCAACUUUAUCUCGUAUAUCAUCAUUCCGGACCCAGUCCUUCCUUGUGUGGCCACACAUCCAUCUCAACACGCGCAUCUCCGCCACACCUAACUGUUGACAUGUCGCCUUUUAGUCGGCCAACACUUGUCUGUCGGUCGAAGAAGGCAACAAACAAGUGGAAGCAACCGAUGCUCUGGUCAUUCUACUCCUUGAUGCCAGUCUGUGCUUGCUGUCAUGCUGGCAAAAGCGGGGGUUUCGGCCGGCUUUACCUACUAUUGGAUUUGAAUCAAUGACUCUCGCCGUAUGAAAGCGAUACUCUAACCGCUGAGUCAAGUAGGUCAAGCUGAGUCAAGUCAGAGAAAAUCGAAAAAAAGAGAAAGCCAACCAAAGCGCAACCAGAGUUCUCCGCGGGGUGGAGCGCUAAGAAAGAGAAAGCAUUAUCGCUAUACGAAAUGAAGCAGCGGCUAGCACACUAAGAUAAACCACUUGGUUUAAAAAACAGCUUAGUGGCGUGUGAUUUCAACACUAUUCCAGAGGUAUAUGAUACAACAUUGCGGGUUGAAUCGCCAUCCUAUAGAACCUGCCUUUUAGCUUUUGUGGCAUUCUCUUGUCACAGAGAACUCCAGAAGCUUGGCGCCACUUCAUCCAUCCUACUCUGAUUCGAUGGUUCACAUCUUCAUCGAUAUCCUCAUCCUUCUGUAGCAUUGACCCAAAAUAUUGAAAGGUGUCUUUCUGAGCAUGAAAUUUUUAUAUCGAUAAAAGUACUUGACCGUUCCCUGUCCAUAUCCUAUUUGCAGAGCAUUAGUUAUACUCAAAUCGAUAUAAGCAUAUAGCGCCAAAUGUUCAUAUGGCACAUAGGAGCUAAAUGUCAUUCAGUAUUUUUUUAAUCCCCUUGUAAUUCUUGUUCUUAGGAUGUGGUCAUGCAUGCUGGAGUGUGAUUGGUAGGGUCUAGGGUGCAUCCCGACGAGUUUGGUCCAGUAAUGUGGCAUCUUGUUGGGAACCUCGCAAUGGUCGGGUGGCCUGCAUCAGCUGGCCAGGUUGUCAGAUGCAGGUGCAUCUCCAGAGCCAGGCUAGAGCAGAAGCUCAUAUCCUGUCAAAAAUAGAGCAGUCAGAAGCUCAUAUCAAGCUUCCCCCGCAUGCAGGCAAUUUUUUCAGUGUCUAUUCAGUGGCUAGCGCGUACUAAUCUUUAUCAAAUGAUUAGUACGCAAUACGACUAUUUAAGGGUAAUUAAUGUGUAUCAAGUGGGUGCUGUGACAUGUUGCUAUCGAGCAUAUACUUUUAAUAACCAUGUCUUCUAGCCAAUUAAGUUGCUAGUUUUAUAAUUAGCAUGUAUUGAUUAUGUGUACUACUACCUCUGAUCCAAAAUAAGUGUCGCAGUUUUGAACUGAGGUUAAAUGGAUUAGGGUAUAUUAGAAGUUGUAUAAUGUAGAAUAAUGAUCAGUGGGGUGUAGCGUAACAUUUUAAUGGUUUUCAAAGUGUUUCUAACCACAGUAUAGUUUUAAGUUGUAAUCACUCAUGCUGUCCUGCAACUAACCAAACAAACGCCCUUACCUACCCCAUAGCCUGUCUUGCUAAACCAGCCUAUCCCAGCCCCCAAUGGGCCAGCCUGUGGUGAUUCAGGAAGCCAAUUACCCCCUUGAUGAUUGAAUAUGGUUUGCCAAACAGAUUGGGGAAUUAUUUAUCCAGCAUAUGAAGUUACUCUUUGCAGGAUAAACCACUCUUUGUUCUUUGUUUGCUGUUAUAAUUAGUUAUUAUUUGUAGCAUUUGUACGCCAUUUUGCUAAGCAAGAAGGUUCUAGGAAGUAAAGCUUAUUCCACAUUGACUGACUAAAUGUUCUGUUAACUUGAUAAUGUUGGGGUAAGUCGAUCACUAUGCAUUUAUCCUCCUAUCCAGCUAUGCAGACAUUAGCAGUUAACAUUAUGCUAUUAUUAGUGUAAGUUAACAAGACACAGUGGAAGGGAGCAAUGUAUUUACUUGUCUUCUCAUUCCUCAGAUAUCCACCUAUCUUGAUUCACGCAAGCUAAACUCAAAAUUUUCCAGGGUUGGUAUCUCGGAUAGGGAGGGCCAAGAGACAAACCAGGAUGCUGGAGGCUCGAUGACAAGGACUCCGGCUGCAGCCAUCGGCGCUCUUGUGCGCAUGCUCAAGACGGCCCCGGGCCUCAGGGCAAGCCGCCCAUCAAUCGAAGCUCCUCCCCCAGUUCCUCAAGAAUCUUCGGUUCAGAGGGUCAUGACCGAGGAACACGGCGACGCCACAUCGAGUUCUGGUUUGCUCGAAUCAAAGACGGCAGCAGAUGCGCUGGAGGAGCUAAAGAAAUACAAGGCUAUCAGAGAAUCGAUACUGGACCGCGCGAAGGCGCUGCCCAGGGAUGAUGCCAAAACUGGGGAGAAACCCGCCGAUGGGGAUCCUUAGCAAACAUACAGUAUGACGACGAAAAGACUUGUGUACAUAUAUGUAUUAUAAGAUAGCUGACGAUU
rnacentral:lncRNA from 1 species